ACCUGUUUUGAAAAAUAUAAGCUCAGAAUACCACCUGUUUUGAAAAUAUAAGCUCAGAACACAUACUCAGAGCAGUAGGUAAAAUGCUUGUGCGCCCGGAUUCCCUCAAACACGCAAAGAUAAACAAACUACACAUCUCACAAACACCAAACAAGAUCAGCAGUGCUUCUCUUUUUUGUUUACAGAGGCAACCAUAUCAAACAAAUAUAUUUUUGAAAACUACAGCAGUAUAAGUACAACUUUCUAUGUCACACAUAAUUAAUUUUGGCCAUUAAGGCAAUCUAAACCUUCUCUGAACAAGACUGACUUGUCACCAACUUAGAAAAAAACAUAUCUGAAGUUAUACUUAGUUGAAAAAAUUUGUAGCAUACAUGGAUAUAAAACUUGUGAAAAACACAACAGAACUAAUAUGAUUUUGGGAACCAUUGUCUACUGAAAGGUGCCUAAAACAAGGAAAUACAGAUCGCUAUCAGAGAACGCUGCCUUUUCCAGCAGUCAACUUGCAGCCAUGAUAUCUCAAAAACUACUGGGCUAAAAAAGAAUGAGAAAGGAAUUGUUUACAACUUUUCCAACUAUUGACCAUAGCAAUGAUAUGGCUAGUUUAUUGGGCAAGGAGUACAAUAGCAGACAGGUACCUACUCGCCCUCCCUAGGAGGCUCUGAGUUUAGGAUCUGUUCCUGCUUGAUCCUAACCUAUGGCGCCUAGGGCCCUUAUAUAUUGGUUCAGCCAACAAUCCUUAACUGACUAGGACUCAACUCUAAUCUAACUAGGACUCUAUCUCCAAUCUAAUUCUGUUACAAUUCUUAACCAACUAGGAGUCUAAUCCUUAUCUAAUUCUAACUGAUCUGCUGAAUCUGGAUUAGCUGCCCCUUUGUUCCUUCGGUGGAACUUCUUACCAAAGAAGUUGUCCACAACACUUCCGCCCCCCUGAUAGAAAAGCUCGUCCUCGAGCUUGAAAUCAGGGUAACUCUCCUUGAAUUGGUCGAGCUGCUCCCAAGUGGCAUCAGCAGCAUCAUGACCUGCCCAUUGCACCAGAAGGUCCCAAGACGAGGCUGUAGGCUUAGCGCGCACCACCUUCUCUGGAACAGGAACUGCACGGCCAUGAACCAUAGGCGGCAGUGACACAAUCUGAGCAGGGACAGGACCCUGGUGUUUCUUCAGGAAGGCUACAUGGAAAACAUCAUGAAUUCGAGCCCUGGGUGGCAGGCGAAGACGAUAAGCCACCUGCCCAAUACGUUCAAUCACUUGAAAUGAACCGUAGAAACGAGGAGCAAGCUUGGCAUUGGUUUUGUCCAAUGCCACCACACGCUGCACAAGCUGCUUAUCCAAUGCCACCACACGGGCCAAUCCUGGCUGGUAGGACAACAGGGAAGGCGGAUCACGGCCAAACACCACCCGGAAUGGCGUGCAUUGCAAGGUGGACUGAUACGAAGUGUUAUAACAGUACUCAGCCCAAGGCAACCAGCGCAGCCAACUGCGAGGACGAUCACCCGCCAAGCAACGAAGAUACACGCCUAGAACCCGAUUAGUCACCUCAGAUUGACCAUCUGUUUGCGGUCGGAACGCAGAACUGAGGCGCAAUUUGAUGCCGGCGAGGCUGAACAACUCCUUCCAUAAAGCACUAGUGAAAACUGGAUCACGGUCACUAACGAUGGAGCAUGGGAGCCCAUGGAGGCGCACGAUGCCAUCAAAGAAAGCCUGAGCCACAGACAGGGCUGUGUAGGGAUGUCCCAAGGCAAUGAAGUGCACCAUCUUGGAGAAACGGUCGACCACUGUGAGCACAACAGACCGGCCGCCUACUUUUGGAAACCCCUCAACAAAAUCCAUUGCAAUGUCGCUCCAAACGGACUGAGGAACAUCCAAAGGCUGCAGCAAUCCCGCCGGAUGAAGGUGCUCUGUCUUGUUUCGCUGACAAACAGCACAGCCCCGAACAUAAUCGCGGACUAAUUUGGGUGCAUGCGGACUGUAGAAUGAAAAGCGCAGUCGAUGGAGUGUUUUCUGGGUACCUUCAUGGCCAGCGCCAUGGGCGGCAGCAAGGAGUUGCGGCCAUAGGGCCGAAGAAUCAGGAACAAAAAUUCUACCCCGAUGCAUGACAAAUCCAUCCACAACAGACCAUGCUGCUCUUGCUGUCCCAUCUGCAAUCUCCUGCUUCUUAGCCUGCACAUCCGGCAAAGAGGACGCCUCCUCCCUGAAUUCGUUGAAUAGAGCAAACUCCGGGCGAGAGAUGGCAUGGACGUGGCUGGUUACCUCCUGUUCAUCCCGGCGAGAUAACGCAUUAGCGGCAGCGUUCUGUUUCCCGGGUUUAUAUUCAACCUGGAAGCUGUAGCCAAAUAGCUUGUUGACCCAUGUGUGUUGUGGUAUGGUGGACAGGCGCUGGUCAAGGAGAUGCUUUAAGCUGCAGUGAUCUGUGCGAAUGAUGAACUCCCGGACCCAAAGAUAUGGCCACCAAUGCCUUACUGCCUGAACCAAUCCAAUUAACUCCCGUUCAUAGGCCGCGAGUUUAGCAUGCUGAGAGGCGACUGUCUUGCUGAAAAAAGCAAUAGGCCCUGCGCCUUGAUGCAACACAGCUCCAAAACCAGAUCCGGAUGCGUCACAGUCCACAAUAAAGGGCUUAUCAAAAUCUGGAAGCUGCAUUACAGGACCUGUUGUGAGGGCAGCCUUGAGUGCCUCAAAAGUUGUCGUUGCCUCUGAACUCCACACAAAGGCAUCCCUCUUCAGAAGCGUCGUUAACGGGGCGCAAUGAGGUCGUAGUUGGCGAUGAACCGGCGAUAGUACCCGGUGAGCCCAAGAAAUCCCCGCAACGCCUUGACAGACCGAGGACGGGGCUAAGAUUGGACAGCCGCAAUUUUUCAGUAUCCAUGGCCACAGCGUCGUCAGCGAUGACAUGUCCCAAAUAAUGCACCCGACGUUCCCCAAAGAGGCACUUGGAUCGCUUGAGGACGAGGCCGUGCUCGCGGAGGACGGAGAACACGGCGCGAACAUGCUGCAGGUGCUCGGUCCAGGACCUGCUGUAAAUCAGGAUGUCGUCGAAGAAGACGAGAAUGCAGUAGCGGAGGAACGGAUGAAGAACCUCGUUCAUCAAUGCUUGGAAUGUGGAUGGCGCAUUGGUGAGGCCAAAUGGCAUGACCAGGAACUCGAAGUGGCCGUGGUGGGUGCGGAACGCCGUCUUCACCACAUCGUCGGGGUGCAUCCGCACUUGGUGAUAGCCGCUGCGAAGGUCGAGCUUGGUGAAGAAAACAGCGCCCUUGAGCUCAUCCAGGAGCUCCUCCACCACCGGAAUUGGAAACUUGUCGCGGACGGUCUUGAGGUUGAGGGCGCGGUAGUCAACACAGAAGCGCCACGUGCCGUCCCCUUUGCGCACCAAAAGCACUGGCGAGGAGAACGCUGACAUACUGGGGUGGAUGAUCCCUUGCUCGAGCAUGGCCUGGCAUUGGGCCUCAAUCUCAUCCUUCAAAAGCUGCGGAUAGCGAUACGGGCGCACCGCCACUGGAGAAGUACCCGGGAGAAGAUGAAUGCGGUGGUCGAAGGCGCGCGGCAGAGGCAGCCCUGACGGUGUCGAGAAUAAAUCAGCAAACUCCUCCAAUAGUAGCCCAAGCAGAUCCAAUGACUGAGUGACAGCUAGCCGUGGGGAAGGCCGGCCAUUGACCCCGAACCACUUGACGCGAUGGUCCUGGCGCCAGAAAGCCAUGGACAGCCGGGUGAAGUCCCAGAGGAUAGGCCCCAAGGUGCGAAGCCAGUCGCACCCCAGGACGAGCUCGUAGCCGCCGAGCGGGAUGACGAACAGGUUGACGUAGAACUCCUCCUGGGCGAUGUGGAUGAUGACGUUUCGGCAUACACCGGCGGAAGGAACGCGGUCGCCGUUGGCGACGCCGACAGUGAGGCCUGGUCGCACCUUUGGAGUGAGCCCAAGCCGGGCGGCAGUGUCCGCGGCGAUGAACGAGUGGGUGGACCCUGAAUCCACCAAGGCCGUGAGGCCCACGGCCUGGACAACGGUGGCAAGCUGCAAGGUGGAGCUCGUCUGGAUGCCUGUGAUAGCGUUGAGGGAGAUGGACGGCUCGUCUUCCCCUGAGCCGUCCGAAGCGGCGGCGUCGUCAUCCAGCUCCAUCCAGUAGAUGCCCUUCAUCGAGCACUGCUUGGCGUGUUCCCUUGAAAACUUCUCUGGACAAUUGAAACACAGCCCCUCGAGGCGCCGCUGCGCCAUCUCCUCCGGAGAGAGGCGUGUGAAACGGGCGCCUGGUGGCGCCGCAGGCUUGACAGGAGAGCUUGGUGUUGAAGACGCCAUAGAAGAGGCUGGCGGUGUAGCAGGGGGCUUGGCCGGGGCUGAGGAGAACGAACGAGUGCGGGAGGAGGGGCGCGUCGCGUGUAUCAGGGAGCGAGCGCCCUCGUCGACCACCUGGUUGCGGCGCUCGAAGGCACGCACCAGUGCCAUGGCGUCCUCCAACAUCUUAGGCUUGUUCAUCUCCACAUCGAUGCUCAUGGGUUGCAGGAGGUCGGCGGAGAAGAUGGCGAUCUGCUGCUGUUCGGUGACGCCCUCGCAUCGCGCCAGGAGUUUAAGGAACUGCUCCUGGUAGUCGUCGACAGAGCCCGUGCGGCGAAGAUGGGCCAGCUCGCCGAGGGGGUUGCUGCGUACCGGCGGUCCAAACCUCUUGUUGACGCCCUCGACGAAAGCCGGCCAAGUAGGGAUGCCACGAUUCUUUUCCAAGCGGUAGUACCACUGUCCCGCGGCGCCCUCCAAAUAGAACGUCGUCGUCCAAACCUUCUGAUUUUCCAGCAUGUCCUGGGAGCGAAAGAAUUGCUCGCACUUGUGCAGCCAGCCCAGGGGGUCGUCGGAGCCGUCGUACUUGGGGAAGCGGAGCUUAUGCAUGGGCGGUGGCGGCGGCCCAUACUUCCCGUCGCCCCCGGAGGAGGAACCAAUAGUGUCGAAGCGUCCGUUCUUCUCCAGAACCUGAUUCUAGACAUUGGUAAUGGAGGAGGCGAGACGCCCUUGUUCCUAGCAGACAGAUCCCAAUUCUCUGUCAAGCUGCAUGCUGAUCUCGUUCAUCUUGGUGAUCAUCUUGGCGACGGCAUCAUCAAAGACAGCCUAGGUGACAAAGGAAUCGCCCAUUGUUGCGGUGGGAGCGAUGGGGUUGGCGGCGCGCAGGGAAUAUGGGGUGUGGUGGAUCUGCAAUUGGUGGCAGGUAGAAACCAAGGAAGGUCCCAGCUGAUACCAAAGAUGAUAUGGCUAGUUUAUUGGGUAAGGAGUACAAUAGCAGAUCGACAGGUACCUACUCGCCCUCCCUGGGAGGCUCUGAGUUUAGGAUCUGUUCCUGCUUGAUCCUAACCUAUGGCGCCUAGGGCCCUUAUAUAUUGGGUCAGCCAACAAUCCUUAACUGACUAGGACUCAACUCUAAUCUAACUAGGACUCUAUCUCCAAUCUAAUUCUGUUACAAUUCUUAACCAACUAGGAGUCUAAUCCUUAUCUAAUUCUAACUGAUCUGCUGAACCUGGAUUAGCUGCCGCUUUGUUCCUUCGGUGGAACUUCUUGCCAAAGAAGUUGUCCACAACAAGCAAUCUGGUCACUAAGAUUGUCCAAAACUCAAUAGAUCAAAAACUGUUCUGAAAAUUGACAGAAACCGAUAGCCAUCAAAAACACACCAUAUCUCCUAAAUCACCAGGCCUAAAAUUACAAUUCUUGAUCCCAAAGAAACAUUACAAAGUCCUUUGCAACAAUAUGAACUUUUCAUUAAUUUACAGGGCCUAAAAAAAAACUAGAUAUAAAUGGAUCAACCCACUGCACAAUCUGAAAAUUCCUGGCGUCCACAAAAUGAUCAAUUAAACAUUCCUAUUUGGAACCUUGCCUCUAAUCGACAUCAACCAACAUUACUAAGACCCAAAACAUCCAAAAUACAUGUUCUACAGCAGAGUAUGGCCUCACCUAGGGUUUAGCCUCGACCAAGACAAAGACAACAGCGAGCACGAGAUGAUCUAGCAUGCCUUCAUGAUCCUCUCCUUCCCCUUGAUCUGUUUUUGCUGAUUCUUCUACGACCCUAUCCUUCCUCCUCCUUGUCCCAUGGCAGCAGGGAGGACCAAAUCAGAUGGGGCGAAAAACCUCAUGGCCAAAUAGAAGAGGAGAGUAGAUUACCUGCAGGAGAGGCACUGACUCGCUGAGCCUUCUCCGAUCUCUCCUCUGCCUUGCCAAUCUGUCUCCUCUGCCUUGCCAAUCUGCAGGAGAGGCACGGAUUGUAUUCGACGAGAGCUACGUGUCUGCGCUGUCUAUUCGCCAAUCCAAGCAACGCAUAAAAA
rnacentral:lncRNA from 1 species